CCCUUGAGGCGUGGCUUCCGGAGCUAACGCGUUAAGUCGACCGCCUGGGGAGUACGGCCGCAAGGUUAAAACUCAAAUGAAUUGACGGGGGCCCGCACAAGCGGUGGAGCAUGUGGUUUAAUUCGAUGCAACGCGAAGAACCUUACCUGGUCUUGACAUCCACAGAACUUUCCAGAGAUGGAUUGGUGCCUUCGGGAACUGUGAGACAGGUGCUGCAUGGCUGUCGUCAGCUCGUGUUGUGAAAUGUUGGGUUAAGUCCCGCAACGAGCGCAACCCUUAUCCUUUGUUGCCAGCGGUCCGGCCGGGAACUCAAAGGAGACUGCCAGUGAUAAACUGGAGGAAGGUGGGGAUGACGUCAAGUCAUCAUGGCCCUUACGACCAGGGCUACACACGUGCUACAAUGGCGCAUACAAAGAGAAGCGACCUCGCGAGAGCAAGCGGACCUCAUAAAGUGCGUCGUAGUCCGGAUUGGAGUCUGCAACUCGACUCCAUGAAGUCGGAAUCGCUAGUAAUCGUGGAUCAGAAUGCCACGGUGAAUACGUUCCCGGGCCUUGUACACACCGCCCGUCACACCAUGGGAGUGGGUUGCAAAAGAAGUAGGUAGCUUAACCUUCGGGAGGGCGCUUACCACUUUGUGAUUCAUGACUGGGGUGAAGUCGUAACAAGGUAACCGUAGGGGAACCUGCGGUUG
rnacentral:rRNA from 1 species